AUUGAACGCUGGCGGCAGGCCUAACACAUGCAAGUCGAACGAGAGGCGGACGGGUGAGAAAUGUCUGGGAAACUGCCUGAUGGAGGGGGAUAACUACUGGAAACGGUAACUAAUACCGCAUACCAUCGGAUGUGCCCAGAUGGGAUUAGCUAGUAGGUGGGGUAAAGGCUCACCUAGGCGACGAUCCCUAGCUGGUCUGAGAGGAGGACCAGCCACACUGGGACUGAGACACGGUCCAGACUCCUACGUGAGGCAGCAGUGGGGAAUAUUGCACGAUGGGCGCAAGCCUGAUGCAGCCAUGCCGCGUGUGUGAAGAAGGCCUUCGGGUUGUAAAGUACUUUCAGCGGGGAGGCGUUACCCGCAGAAGAAGCACCGGCUAACUCCGUGCCAGCAGCCGCGGUAAUAC
rnacentral:rRNA from 1 species